rnacentral:misc_RNA from 1 species
ACUCGAUGGACGUUUGCUUCUACGAUCGAAUCGACGCGUGAUCAGCACCCGAAAAAUGCUAA